AGAGUUUGAUCCUGGCUCAGAUUGAACGCUGGCGGCAGGCCUAACACAUGCAAGUCGAGCGGUAACACAGAGAGCUUGCUCUCGGGUGACGAGCGGCGGACGGGUGAGUAAUGUCUGGGAAACUGCCUGAUGGAGGGGGAUAACUACUGGAAACGGUAGCUAAUACCGCAUAACGUCGCAAGACCAAAGUGGGGGACCUUCGGGCCUCAUGCCAUCAGAUGUGCCCAGAUGGGAUUAGCUAGUAGGUGGGGUAACGGCUCACCUAGGCGACGAUCCCUAGCUGGUCUGAGAGGAUGACCAGCCACACUGGAACUGAGACACGGUCCAGACUCCUACGGGAGGCAGCAGUGGGGAAUAUUGCACAAUGGGCGCAAGCCUGAUGCAGCCAUGCCGCGUGUGUGAAGAAGGCCUUCGGGUUGUAAAGCACUUUCAGCGGGGAGGAAGGCGGUGAGGUUAAUAACCUCACCGAUUGACGUUACCCGCAGAAGAAGCACCGGCUAACUCCGUGCCAGCAGCCGCGGUAAUACGGAGGGUGCAAGCGUUAAUCGGAAUUACUGGGCGUAAAGCGCACGCAGGCGGUCUGUCAAGUCGGAUGUGAAAUCCCCGGGCUCAACCUGGGAACUGCAUUCGAAACUGGCAGGCUAGAGUCUUGUAGAGGGGGGUAGAAUUCCAGGUGUAGCGGUGAAAUGCGUAGAGAUCUGGAGGAAUACCGGUGGCGAAGGCGGCCCCCUGGACAAAGACUGACGCUCAGGUGCGAAAGCGUGGGGAGCAAACAGGAUUAGAUACCCUGGUAGUCCACGCUGUAAACGAUGUCGAUUUGGAGGUUGUGCCCUUGAGGCGUGGCUUCCGGAGCUAACGCGUUAAAUCGAUCGCCUGGGGAGUACGGCCGCAAGGUUAAAACUCAAAUGAAUUGACGGGGGCCCGCACAAGCGGUGGAGCAUGUGGUUUAAUUCGAUGCAACGCGAAGAACCUUACCUGGUCUUGACAUCCACAGAACUUAGCAGAGAUGCUUUGGUGCCUUCGGGAACUGUGAGACAGGUGCUGCAUGGCUGUCGUCAGCUCGUGUUGUGAAAUGUUGGGUUAAGUCCCGCAACGAGCGCAACCCUUAUCCUUUGUUGCCAGCGGUUAGGCCGGGAACUCAAAGGAGACUGCCAGUGAUAAACUGGAGGAAGGUGGGGAUGACGUCAAGUCAUCAUGGCCCUUACGACCAGGGCUACACACGUGCUACAAUGGCAUAUACAAAGAGAAGCGACCUCGCGAGAGCAAGCGGACCUCAUAAAGUAUGUCGUAGUCCGGAUUGGAGUCUGCAACUCGACUCCAUGAAGUCGGAAUCGCUAGUAAUCGUAGAUCAGAAUGCUACGGUGAAUACGUUCCCGGGCCUUGUACACACCGCCCGUCACACCAUGGGAGUGGGUUGCAA
rnacentral:rRNA from 1 species